GAUCAAGUUAACAAGGGCGUACGGUGGAUGUCUAGGCGUUGAGAGGCGAUGAAGGACGUGGGAACCUGCGAUAAGCCCAGAGGAGCUGGUAACCGAGCGUUGAUCCUGGGAUCUCCGAAUGGGGCAACCCGGUCCCGCCACUAAAUCGGUUUUGAGCGGUCGAAACACCGGCCAAUGCAUAGACCGAUUUAGUGGCGGGAUCACCUACGCCUGAAUGCAUAGGGCGUGGGGGCGAACCUGGCGAACUGAAACAUCUCAGUAGCCAGAGGAAAAGAAAGCAAACGCGAUUCCGUCAGUAGCGGCGAGCGAAAGCGGAACAGCCCAAACCGUCCCGACUUGUCGGGGCGGGGUUGCGGGCGCCAAUGUGGCACGCUUGAUCAACCUGUGAAUCGUUCAGGAAAGCCGAACCAAAGAAGGUGACAGUCCUGUAGCAGGUGGUGACAGCGGCCUAGGCGUACCAGAGUAGCACGGGGCUCGUGGAACUCUGUGUGAAACUGGGGGGUCCACCCUCCAAGGCUAAAUACUCCUCAACGACCGAUAGUGAACCAGUAAGGCGACUGAAUGAUGAAAAGAACCCCGAUAAGGGGAGUGAAAAGUACCUGAAACCGUAUGCCUACAAGCAGUCGGAGCCGGCCGUCUCCUUGCGAGACGGCGGGUGACGGCGUGCCUCUUGCAUAAUGAGCUGACGAGUUGCUCUCUGUGGCCAGGCUAAGCUGCUUCCCAGCGGAGCCGAAGGGAAACCGAGUCUUAAAUGGGCGUGUAGUCGCAGGGGGCAGACGCGAAACCGAGUGAUCUACCCAUGGGCAGGUUGAAGAGGGGGUAAUGCCCCUUGGAGGACCGAACGCACCAACGUUGAAAAGUUGGGCGAUGACCUGUGGGGAGGAGUAAAAGUCUAAUCAUACUCGGAGAUAUCUCGUUCUCCUCGAAAUAGCUUUAGGGCUAGCCUCACGUUACACCGCACGGGGGUAGAGCGACUGGAUGGGGCUGGGGGGCCACAAGCCUACCCACUUCAACCAAACUCCGAAUACCGUGCGGCUCUGUCGUGGGAGUCAGUCCGCGGGAGAUAAUUUCCGCGGUCGAAAGGGAAACAGCCCAGACCGUCAGUUAAGGCCCCUAAACGAUUCUCAGUUUCUAAGGUAGUCGGAUUGCAAUGACAGCCGGGAUGUUGGCUUAGAAGCAGCCACCAUUUAAAGAGUUCGUAACAGAUCACCGGUCGAGGAAUCCGGCGCCGAUAAUGAUCGGGAAUAAGGAUCGUGCCGAAACUGCGGCUCCGCUACUAAACUUCACGCGCCGCGCGCUGAUCGUGAUAUUGCCGCGAUCGGCGCCCGACGUGAGAAGUUUAGUAGCGGGGGGUAGAGGAGCGUUCCUGUCAGCUGCGAAGCGUUGCCGGAAGGCGUCGUGGAGCGGCAGGAAGUGAAUAUGUCAGCUUGAGUAACGAUAAACGGAGUGAGAAUCUCCGUCGCCGAAAGCCUAAGGUUUCCUGGGGAAGGUAAAUCCGCCCAGGGUUAGGCGGGUCCUAAGGCGAGGCCGAAAGGCGUAGUCGAUGGAUAGCAGGUUAAUAUUCCUGCCCUCCCAUGUGCGGUUGAACCGGCGUGACGGAUCGUGAAGCUUGACGGGACAGUGAAGCGUCCAGGCCCUUGAGGCCGAGGUCGGGUGGAUCGAUUCCAAGAAAAGCCGUCCGGUGACAAACAUGGGACCCGUACCGCAAACUGACACAGGUAGGCUUGGCGAAAAGCCUCAGGCGCUCGAGAGAACGGUUGUGAAGGAACUCGGCAAAUUGACCCCGUACGUUCGCAAUAAGGGGGCCCUCUCCCGACUCGUCGGGAAGGGCGCAGAGAAAAGGCUCUGGCGACUGUUUAUCAAAAACACAGCACUGUGCUAACUCGCAAGAGGACGUAUACAGUGUGACACCUGCCCGGUGCCGGAACGUCAAGGAAGCAGGUUAGCCCGACUUGUCGGGCAAAGCUUGCGACCGAAGCGCCGGUAAACGGCGGCCGUAACUAUGACGGUCCUAAGGUAGCGAAGUUCCUUGUCGGGUAAGUUCCGACGCGCAUGAAUGGUGUAACGACUGGAGCACUGUCUCCACAACCGACUCGGUGAAAUAGUAGUGGCGGUGAAGAUGCCGCCUACCCGCGGCAAGACGGAAAGACCCCGUGGACCUUUACUGUAGGCUUGUAUUGGUCAUGGACCUGUACUGCGUAGGAUAGGUGGGAGGCGUUGAAGUCGGGAUUUCGGUCCCGGUGGAGCCACCCUUGAAAUACCACCCUGUGCUGGUUUGUGGCCUAACCCCGAUUCCCAUGAAGCUGGGCGGGGGACCGUGCAUGCUGGGCAGUUUGACUGGGGCGGUCUCCUCCUAAAGAGUAACGGAGGAGCGCAAAGGUCGGUUCAGCAUGGUUGGAAACCAUGUGUCGAGUGUAAGAGCACAAGCCGGCUUUACUGCGAGACAUACAUGUCGAGCAGUCACGAAAGUGGGCUCUAGUGAUCCUGCGAUCCCGUGUGGAAGGGUCGUAGCUCAACGGAUAAAAGGUACCCCGGGGAUAACAGGCUGAUCGCCCCCGAGCGUCCAUAGCGGCGGGGCGGUUUGGCACCUCGAUGUCGGCUCAUCACAUCCUGGGGCUGAAGGAGGUCCCAAGGGUUCGGCUGUUCGCCGAUUAAAGUGGUACGCGAGCUGGGUUCAGACCGGCGUGAGCCAGGUCGGUCCCUAUCUGCCGUGGGCGCUGCAACAUUGACAGGAUUUCUCCCUAGUACGAGAGGACUGGGAGGAACCCACCCCUGGUGUGCCAGUUGGACCGCUCGGUCCAUCGCUGGGUAGCUAAGUGGGGCAGAGAUAAUCGCUGAAAGCAUCUAAGCAAGAAGCUCCCCUGAAGAUGAGUGUUGCAUGUCGCCUUGUGCGACGAGAGACCCCUGGUAGACCACCAGGUUGAUAGGCCGCGCGUGUACCGGCAGAAAUGCCCUCAGCGAAGCGGUACUAACGGUCGAUGACUUGGUCAC
rnacentral:rRNA from 1 species